GGUUUUGAUAUAUCUCUCCCAGUCAUGAGGUUGCCACCCUGCCGGUAUUUUCAUUCAGAUUCCGGGCUGUGCCGAUGUUAAGAGAUCCACAUGGCGGUCUGAUCCUGACAGAGAAGAAAAGGAAAGAGGACACUGCUGAUCAGAAAAGACGGAAUUAUUGAGAUUGUGCCUGAAGACCAUCCUCAGAAUUCCAUAAUUGUCAACUCACGCUACCCUUCUGAGCAACAUCAACCCUGUACAAUAAGUGCCGCCAUACUCAGCUUAGAUUGGUAUUCAACAUGUUGUCUUAUGCUUUAGUCACACUCAGAGCUGCAUUGACAAAGCUGUUGCUCCCCUGCUAAAUAUCAGGCUAUUGGCUGACAUCUCAUUGCAGCCAUCACCUGCAAACAACAAGCCCUUAUGUGGGUCUGUAGAUGGAAACUUUAUCUCUUAAGGACCAAGGGCGUACCUGUACACCCUGGUCCCAGUAUUUAGCGCUCACUCAUGCGGUGAGCAAGUAUUAUAGUGGCACG